UUAAUUUGAAUAAUAAACUUAAAAUCAAGGUCCUUUAUGAACAUCCCAAAGGUAUUCAAGUAUUCACUUGUUAAUUUGUACAUCAUACAUUAUAUCACAAAUCUAUCAGCGUGUUGUCGUAAUAACCAUGAUUCCAGAUUCACGAGCUUUAGCAUCUCCUUCUUCAAUUGAAACUUGCCUAUUUGGUCACGAGGAGCAUUAUCAUUAGAAUAAGUAAAAAAAAAUGUAAACUGUAAGUAAAGGCUGCGCAAAGAUAUGUACAACAAAAUCAUGGACAUAACUAGCAAACUGGGUUUGCCUACUCUUUCUAUCCAAGAUCACUAAUAUGAUCAAUGAAAUUGAGAUCUCUUCUAAUUGAGGAGACCACAUGGGAUAAGUCUGAAACAGAGAGCGAAAGCAAUUGUUAAUUUGAUGUGAGAAGUAGAAAUGCAGUUCAACAUAAGGUAUCAGACUACUCUAGCAGCACAAAACAAUCUACUAUUAACAAAGUGACAGCAAUUAGGUUUAGAGUUGACCAAUUGAACUAUUAAUAUUAUCCACAAGUCUGCAAAUAUAUAUGGUUUGGUUUUUACAGGCCUUACGAGUCCAUGAAUGAUUUUUGAAAACUGAACAAACAAUCAAAUAAGUUUACACGAAUUACUAUUCCGGCAUACAGGUGAUGAUCCAGAUCAAAAACAUCACACGUAAACAUAACAAAUCUACCAGAAUUCACGAGCACAUAAGGCAUGAACAAAACAAGAUGUACGGACUCAACUGGAAUAUAUGGCUGAAUAAUUGUAGUAUUUAACAUGCAUGAGUCUGGCACCGCAAUACGUAGCUAACAUAUAUACCUGGUUUAGUAUAGCCAAACACAACUUUUCAUCAAUACAAGCAUUUUAUAGCAUAACUUUUUAGUUUCUAUGCACAACAAACUAAGGAAUGGAGACAAGCACUCUCUUGAAAACUGCUUGCUUUACUCUGUUCAAUUUCUAGUUUUUGUGCAUGCUUUUAAGAGCAAGUUCCGAGGAGCACAUGCCUGCAAAGUAUGACUCAUAAUCAAUGUUGAAGAGAUAUGAAAUAAAGAUUAUCUAAAAAAAAGAAUGCCCAUAAGUUUCCAUACUUCUUCAAUUCUCUCUAAUAAGCUAAAAGAUAUAAAAUGUACCUUGUGCAUAUGUCCAGCUGACAGACUAUUGUGCAUAUGUCCAACUGCUACACUAUUGUGGAUCAGCAAAGGCAUGGACAGCCCCCGGGUAUGGCUCAAACUAAACGCAACCAGACCAAUUGAUAAGGCUCUUACAAGACCAUAAGUACAUUGAAGCCAUGCCUCUCCCUCUCAAAACAUUAAGCCUAUCAAAUCCCUCACUGACAUUUCAACAAAUACCUGCCUAGCAAUCUUAAUCAACCCAAAACAAGAAUACAUAUGAAUCAAAGAAUUCUCCACUGGCAACACCCCAUCAACACCAUUUUUGACAGCCUGCCCAUGACAUUUUUGUCGUAAUCCCAAACACCCCAUUUUAGUUCAAGUGCUAAAAAGUGAAGGAAAAGUAAAACUAUUAGGCAAGAAUCCAUUUUUAAGCAUUUCAAAGUAAAAAACUACCGCUUGAUUUGGUACAGAACUCAAAGCAUAGGACUUUAUAACAGUAUUUAUACAAAAAGUAUCGGGUAAAUCACAAUACAUCAAAAAAUCAAUAGUGUAAUCGAGGUCACCAAAAUCUAUAGAAAGCUUCAAAAUUCUGCCGGCGAAAGAUGGGUUUUGGAAGACAGCAGACGAGCUUGGAUUUGGAACAGUUGGGCAAUGUUUUGACAUGUUUUGAGGAGGUAUAGGGUAUGGUGGACAGAGACAGUAUUAGGAUCCAAAUUAAAAUCGGAAGACGAAGAAGAAAAGAAGAACGAUAUUAAUGAACAAGAGAGGAAACUAAAAGUUAGAUCAUGUACCUGAAAAAUCCCAAUAUUCUGUGCUUCGUUGAACCUACUAUCGAUCGGUAUUAAAGCGUGCCCUCCACUUGUCUUUGCCAUGGAUCUAGAGAUUUGAGAAUUUUUGUUUCAGAUGGAACGAAAAGAGGCUAAACGGAGAGAUGAGAGACG
rnacentral:lncRNA from 1 species